UACGAAGGUGGCAAGCGUUGUUCGGAUUUACUGGGCGUACAGGGAGCGUAGGCGGUUGGAUAAGCCCUCCGUGAAAUCUCCAGGCUUAACCUGGAAAGUGCAGAGGGGACUGUUCAGCUAGAGGAUGGGAGAGGAGCGCGGAAUUCCCGGUGUAGCAGUGAAAUGCGUAGAUAUCGGGAGGAACAUCCGUGGCGAAGGCGGCACCCUGGACCAGCACUGACACUGAGGCACGAAAGCGUGGGGAGCAAACAGG
rnacentral:rRNA from 1 species